rnacentral:rRNA from 1 species
GUGUCAGCCGCCGCGGUAAUACCGGCAGCUCGAGUGAUGACCGAUUUUAUUGGGCCUAAAGCGUCCGUAGCUGGCCGCGCAAGUCCAUCGGGAAAUCCGCACGCCCAACGUGCGGGCGUCCGGUGGAAACUGUGCGGCUUGGGACCGGAAGACCCGACGGGUACGUCCGGGGUAGGAGUGAAAUCCCGUAAUCCUGGACGGACCACCGAUGGCGAAAGCACGUCGGGAAGACGGCUCCGACAGUGAGGGACGAAAGCUAGGGUCUCGAACCGGAUUAGAUACCCGGGUAGUCCUAGCCGUAAACGAUGUCUGCUAGGUGCGACGCUGACUACGAGUCAGUGUUGUGCCGUAGGGAAGCCGCUAAGCAGACCGCCUGGGAAGUACGUCCGCAAGGAUGAAACUUAAAUGAAUUGUCGGGG